UCUCCUGGAAACGGGUGGUAAUGCCGGAUGCUCCAUCACACCGCAUGGUGUGUUGGGAAAGCCUUUGCGGCAUGGGAUGGGGUCGCGUCCUAUCAGCUUGAUGGCGGGGUAACGGCCCACCAUGGCUUCGACGGGUAGCCGGCCUGAGAGGGCGACCGGCCACAUUGGGACUGAGAUACGGCCCAGACUCCUACGGGAGGCAGCAGUGGGGAAUAUUGCACAAUGGGCGCAAGCCUGAUGCAGCGACGCCGCGUGAGGGAUGGAGGCCUUCGGGUUGUAAACCUCUUUUGUUAGGGAGCAAGGCAUUUUGUGUUGAGUGUACCUUUCGAAUAAGCACCGGCUAACUACGUGCCAGCAGCCGCGGUAAUACGUAGGGUGCAAGCGUUAUCCGGAAUUAUUGGGCGUAAAGGGCUCGUAGGCGGUUCGUCGCGUCCGGUGUGAAAGUCCAUCGCUUAACGGUGGAUCCGCGCCGGGUACGGGCGGGCUUGAGUGCGGUAGGGGAGACUGGAAUUCCCGGUGUAACGGUGGAAUGUGUAGAUAUCGGAAAGAACACCA
rnacentral:rRNA from 1 species